rnacentral:sRNA from 1 species
UAAUAAAUUAGCUUAGGUGGUGCAGUAUUCUAGUCGGCUAUACCUCUUUUGAAGGCGGGGCUAAAAAUUCGUCAAAGGGCACAUCGAUGAAGCUUCUUGUGCUGGCUCGUUACGCCCAGUUAUGGGUUGGUGCUGGGAGUAAGAGAAGUGGGGCGACCGCAAUGGCAUGCGCAAUCGACCCUACUUUUCGUGGAGACCUAUCUUCGUGGAUAACUAGAUUACUCUACGGUAUAGGAUUAAACCUGCAUAGUGGUUAGAAAUAGCUACUUGCAGUGUAGCCUGCCUUGAGUGAAAUUGGCGGAGGGUGGAUCAGACUAUUACUUUCAGGGCCCGAAGGUAAUAGUUAUUGCUACAGGAAACCAAUUUUGCAAAAGAGGCUAGGAAGAGGCUAUGUCGUUUGGGAAAACCACUAGACUGUUCAACUAGUUAAUAGAAGUGAUAAAGUAGGGAUUGCAGUGCGGACUAAGUGGCAAUCUAGCCCUAUACUUGGCAACGAUGUAGAUUUUCGGUUAAAGGGAAACCACCAUUAUGGCGACAUGUGGUCUCGAAAAUGGGAAAGCCUGCUAGACCUAAGCCGCAAACUUAACCUACUUUAUUACCACCUAAGGGUAUUAUAUA